rnacentral:rRNA from 1 species
AACGAACGCUGGCGGCAGGCUUAACACAUGCAAGUCGAGCGCGUAGCAAUACGAGCGGCAGACGGGUGAGUAACGCGUGGGAAACUACCCUUUGGUACGGAAUAACUCAGGGAAACUUGAGCUAAUACCGUAUGUGACCGAGAGGUGAAAGAUUUAUCGCCAAGGGAUGUGCCCGCGUCGGAUUAGCUAGUUGGUGGGGUAAUGGCCCACCAAGGCGACGAUCCGUAGCUGGUCUGAGAGGAUGAUCAGCCACACUGGGACUGAGACACGGCCCAGACUCCUACGGGAGGCAGCAGUGGGGAAUAUUGGACAAUGGGGGCAACCCUGAUCCAGCCAUGCCGCGUGAGUGAUGAAGGCCUUAGGGUUGUAAAGCUCUUUCGCUCGCGAAGAUAAUGACGGUAGCGAGAGAAGAAGCCCCGGCUAACUUCGUGCCAGCAGCCGCGGUAAAAC